rnacentral:rRNA from 1 species
UACGUAGGCAGCGAGCGUUGUUCGGAGUUACUGGGCGUAAAGGGUGUGUAGGCGGUUUUCUAAGUUUGGUGUGAAAUCUCCCGGCUCAACCGGGAGGGUGCGCCGAAAACUGGGAGACUAGAGUGCGGGAUGGGAGAGUAGAAUUCCUGGUGUAGCGGUGAAAUGCGUAGAUAUCAGGAGGAAUACCGGUGGUGUAGACGGCUCUCUGGACCGCCACUGACGCUGAGACACGAAAGCGUGGGGAGCAAACAGG